UGUCUGUGUGGGAAAUAGAAGAGCCUCCAUCAGCCUGAGGUCAGAGGAUAGACACCCUUCAAACCUGUUUGUUCACCUUCUGCUGAUACAUAUGGACUGGAAACAUAUGAAAGUGAGUCCUGCAUAGCUCACAUCUCAUGCCUAAGGAUCUUGCUGAAGAACUCCCAUCUGUGAAGACCCACUACUGCUGAUUCCAUCUUCUGCAUGCAAGGCUUACCUCUAGAGUUCUUCGCUUCUGACCCUGACAGAGCUAGCAGGACACUGAGACCUGAAAUAGAAAAAGAAGAGAAUAGUUCAGGAGGGGGGUGCCCUGGGGCUUUGUUUGGUUAAAGCCUGGGUGAGUUAGAGGCUUCAUACCCCAUUGUUCACGUUACUGUAGACUCUUCCAGGUAAAAUAUAAACACAAGGGUCACAAAGGCAUCAUAUGUUACUACAGGAUGAGAGCUACAUCUGAUUGCAACUGGAAAAGGUUCUAUACCCAAGUGUAAUGUGUGUGCAUAUGUGUGUGUGUGUGUGUGUGAGAGAGAGAGAGAGAGAGGAGGUGUUCCCACACCAACAAGCAAUUCUUGGGCAUCAGCUGGGUUUUACGAUUAACUCAAUUCUGACAUUGUCUACCCAGAG